rnacentral:rRNA from 1 species
AUUGAACGCUGGCGGCAGGCCUAACACAUGCAAGUCGAGCGGAUGAAGGGAGCUUGCUCCUGGAUUCAGCGGCGGACGGGUGAGUAAUGCCUAGGAAUCUGCCUGGUAGUGGGGGAUAACGUCCGGAAACGGGCGCUAAUACCGCAUACGUCCUGAGGGAGAAAGUGGGGGAUCUUCGGACCUCACGCUAUCAGAUGAGCCUAGGUCGGAUUAGCUAGUUGGUGGGGUAAAGGCCUACCAAGGCGACGAUCCGUAACUGGUCUGAGAGGAUGAUCAGUCACACUGGAACUGAGACACGGUCCAGACUCCUACGGGAGGCAGCAGUGGGGAAUAUUGGACAAUGGGCGAAAGCCUGAUCCAGCCAUGCCGCGUGUGUGAAGAAGGUCUUCGGAUUGUAAAGCACUUUAAGUUGGGAGGAAGGGCAGUAAGUUAAUACCUUACUGUUUUGACGUUGCCAACAGAAUAAGCACCGGCUAACUUCGUG